rnacentral:rRNA from 1 species
AUGUACGUGUUACUGAUCUGAGAGGAGAGGGACCCAUGCUUCGGUAUGGGAGCGUACACAGGUGCUGCAUGGCUGUCGUCAGCUCGUGUCGUGAGAUGUUGGGUUAAGUCCCGCAACGAGCGCAACCCUGCAUCCAGUUGCCAUCGGGCGAGCCGGGCACUCUGGAGGGACUGCCGGCGACAAGCCGGAGGAAGGUGGGGAUGACGUCAAGGUCAUCAUGGCCCUUAUGUCCAGGGCGACACACGUGCUACAAUGGCCGGCACAGCGGGAAGCGGAGGGGCGACCCUGAGCGGAUCCCUUGAAAGCCGGUCCCAGUUCGGAUUGCAGUCUGCAACUCGACUGCAUGAAGUUGGAAUCGCUAGUAAUCGCGGAUCAGCCAAGCCGCGGUGAAUACGUUCCCGGGCCUU